CUUCUUUUCCUUUAGCAGACUGUUGGCUGGGACAAGGCAUUUUGCAAAUGAAUCUUUGUUUACGAGAAGUUAUGAAGUUAGCAACCUUGGUCGCUGGCCCCGGCGGGUGAGCCCUCUGCAAAUCAGCGGUUGCUGGCUCCAGAAGUUCUUUUGGUGUGGCCUCCUCCCUCUAGAAGUUCUUUUGGUUAAUGUAAUAUCUGAAUCAGUGAUCUUUGGCAACUUUGCUAGUUUCUACUUUCUAGUGCCCCCAUUUGCAACAGCCUGUGGAAUUGGUACACAUGUCAAUUGCUAUAAUAGGUGGAAAGAGCAUGUUUUAUAGACUUUUUUCCAAGCAUUAUCUGACAAUAACAGACAC
rnacentral:rRNA from 1 species